rnacentral:rRNA from 1 species
CAGUAGCCGCGGUAAAACGUAGGUGGCAAGCGUUGUCCGGAAUUAUUGGGCGUAAAGGGCUCGCAGGCGGUUUCUUAAGUCUGAUGUGAAAGCCCCCGGCUCAACCGGGGAGGGUCAUUGGAAACUGGGAAACUUGAGUGCAGAAGAGGAGAGUGGAAUUCCACGUGUAGCGGUGAAAUGCGUAGAGAUGUGGAGGAACACCAGUGGCGAAGGCGACUCUCUGGUCUGUAACUGACGCCGAGGAGCGAAAGCGUGGGGAGCGAACAGGAUUAGAGACCCCUGUAGUCCCUGUCUCUUAUAA